rnacentral:misc_RNA from 1 species
UAAUAAGUGUUUUAUGGCACUUUUUAAAUCCAUAUCCACCUUGUGUGCAAUGUCAGUCGUUCUCCCCAUAGAAGAGAACGACCAAACAUCAACCUAUUCUUCAACUCUUUGUCUGAAAAAUAUUAUGAAUAAAAUAAUUCAAAAUA